AUGCUCACUUUGACGGCACACAUACUAAAAUUGGAAUGAUGCAGAGAUUAGCAUGGCCCCAGUGCAAGGAUGACAUGCAAAUUUGUAAAGCAUUCCAUAUUUUU